CCAUGAUGCACCAGGGCAGACGCUAACCGCACUGCAGCCAGGUGCCCCCCCAACACUCUCAUGAUGCACCAGGGCAGACGCUAACCGCACUGCAGCCAGGUGCCCCCCCAACACUCCCAUGAUGCACCAGGGCAGACGCUAACCGCACUGCAGCCAGGUGCCCCCCCCACUCCCAUGAUGCACCAGGGCAGACGCUAACCGCACUGCAGCCAGGUGCCGCCCCCCCACACUCCCAUGAUGCACCAGGGCAGACGCUAACCGCACUGCAGCCAGGUGCCCCCCCAACACUCCCAUGAUGCACCAGGGCAGACGCUAACCGCACUGCAGCCAGGUGCCCCCCCAACACUCCCAUGAUGCACCGGGGCAGACGCUAACCCCACUGCAGCCAGGUGCCCCCCCACAC